ACACCGGCCCUUUUCAGGGCCACUACAUCUUCCUUGAAGUUCAACG
rfam:Octopus bimaculoides Scaffold50416_contig_19, whole genome shotgun sequence.